GUGGCCUUUAGUACCAUCUCAUUUUUAAAGAUGAAAAAGGUCUGAGUUUGUUUGGGAACAGAUUUUUACAGCCAACUUUAAAACCUGUAAAUGAAAUGGAAAUUUAAAAACUCCAAACUGUUGCAGCCAAAUUACAGAAGAUGUUGAAUUCAAACCAUAACUUUUAUGAAAAGUGUAAGUGAAAACUAUUUUGAUGCUGUCUGAAUAUUAAAAUCUGGCCAAUGUUUUGUUA